AAUUUUCAAUUCAAUGUUGACAGAAUCCACUUUGUAGAUGUAUUAUUUCAAGAUAAUUGUAGAAAAAAAUUGAAACUUCCGGAUUCUCGCAAAAUAGCAGCAUUUCAAACAGAACCAGAAUGUUCACUCAUGGAAAUUUUGAUUUCGACUAACUAACCAAGCAAUUAUGCAGAUUUUGUCAAAACCCAAUUAUACGGUCUAUAGUGUCUGAAUAAGAUUCGAAGAAUUUAGCGACUGGGACUACGAAGUUAUAUUUUCUUUUUUGAUUAGAAGAGCAGAGCCGAUGUCAUAUUACAAAAGGAGUAAGCAGAUAACACACGUGAAACUGUUACUACUGGACUAAGUGAAGAAAACUGUAGAUAUAGAGUUGAUCCAACUGUUCCUGCAUAUUUGAAAUUCCAAGACGAUCCCUCCGCCGAACCGAAUGAGCUUCAUCUGUACCAUUUUUUCCGAAGUAACGCAAUCCUAGGCGCUGUUGCACAUCAGUCGAUCAUAGUUUGAAGUUCGCUAUAAAAUUGAAUUUUCAGCCAAAUGAAAGAUCAUUCUGACGGAAUACGCCGUUGCACAUUGCAGCAUCAUACUAACGGUUGGACAUCACCAGAUAUUUAUUGAACAAUAAUGUUACUGUUGAUGCAGUUAACGUCUUUGGGAAAACACAUUUGUAUUUCGCUGUUUAAUGAAAAAAAAAUGAGCAGACGAGUAUCCUGCUCCAUUAUGGAGCAAAUGUCAAAUCAAGGGAUAUAAAUAUAAUUACAGUGCAGCACAAUUUAUGAUCCAGAAAAGAAGGAAUCGACAUAGAAAUUUGAAAAAUUUAAGUAGAUGUCGGAUGUUUCCCUAAUUUAAUGUGAAACAUGGAUAGACACUAUUGCUCAAACUUGCUAAAAAUCAUCAAGUACCUCAUGCAAUGAAUUGUGCCAAAUUUUCAAUUGAAAAAGGGGGUUAAUGUAGGUAAAUUUCCAGGAUGAAUUCGGCGUAACAACCUUACACAUUUUUGCGCAUAAUUGUAAAGAAUUCAUCCUACUGUUCGAGUUGCUUUUGAGAAGUGGUGCUGAUACGAAAAUAUUGAAUAAUAAUGGAAGAAACUUCAUAAAUAUAUUAAUACUAGAUAGGUGCAAUGAUAGAAGACAACAAAUUCAGAGACAUCUAAUUACACUACCAUUCACUGAAAAUUUUCAAUUCAGUGUUGACAGAAUCCACUUCGAAGUUGUUUUAUUCAAAGGUAAUUGUAGAACAAAAUUGAAACUUUCGGAUUCCCGCAAAAAAGCAUGCAGCAUUUCGCUGUUGAAUCCAAAAAAAAUUGAGCAGGCGAUUAUCUUGCUUCAGUAUGGAGCAAAUGAAAAAUCAAGGGAUAUAAAUAGAAAUACAGUACUGCACGGUUUUUGUUCCACAAAAGAAGGAAUCGACAUGGAAAUGUGCUAAUUUUUAGUAGAAGUCGGAUUUGACACUAAUUUAUUGGGAAAAUAUGGACAGACUCCAUUGCAUAAGCUUGCUAAAAACCAUAAAGCACCUCAUGCAAUGGAAUGUGCCAAAUAUUUAAUUGAAAAUGGUGUAAAUGUAAAUUUCCAGGAUGAAUUCGGCGAAACAACCUUACACAUUUUUGCGCAUAAUUGUAAAGAAUUCACCCUACUGUUCGAGUUGCUUUUGAGAAGAGGUGCUGAUACGAAAAUAUUGAAUAAUAAGGGACGAAACCUCAUAGACAUAUUAAUACUAGAUAGGUGCGAUGAUAGAAGACAACAAAUUCAGAGACAUCUAAUUACACUACCAUUCACUGAAAAUUUUCAAUUCAGUGUUGACAGAAUCCACUUUGAAGUUGUAUUAUUCCAAGAUAAUUGUAGAACAAAAUUGAAACUUUUGGAUUCCCGCAAAAUAGCAGCAUUUCGCUGUUGAAUCCAAAAAAAAAUUGAGCAGGCCAUUAUCUUGCUUCAGUAUGGAGCAAAUAAAAAAAUCAAGGGAUAUAAAUAGAAAUACAGUACUGCACGGUUUUUGUUCCACAAAAAAAGGAAUGGACAUGGAAAUGUGCAAAUUUUUAGUAGAAGUCGGAUGUGACCUUAAUUUAUUGGGAAAAUAUGGGCAGACUACAUUGCAUAAGCUUGAUGAAAACCAUAAAGCACCUCAUGCAAUGGAAUGUGCCAAAUAUUUAAUUGAAAAUUGUGUAAAUGUAAAUUUCCAGGAUGAAUUCGGCGCAACAGCUUUACACACCUCAAUGGAUUAUUGUGAAGAAUACACCCCAAUGUUCGAAUUGGUUUUGAGAAGUGGGACUGAUACGAAAAUAUUGAAUAAUAAGGGGAGAACCUUCUUAGACAUAUUGAAACUGGAUACGUGCACGGAUACGAGACAAGAAAUUCUGAGACAUCUAAUUAUACUAGAAUUUAAAGAAAAUAUUCAAUUCAGUGUUGAUAGAAUCCACUCUGAAGAUGAAUUAUUCCAAAAAAAUUGUAGAAAAGAAUCGAUACUUUUGGAUUCUCGAAAAAUAGCAAAAUUUCAAACAGUACCAGAAUAUUCUCUUUACAACAUUCUGAUUUCGACUCACAAGAAAGUAAGCAGAUUAUGUCAAAUUCCGAUUUUACAGUCAAUAGUGUCAGAAUUCGAUGAACGAGAAUAUCCAAUUUAUGGCUUUGAUCUGAAAACAAAAAUGGAGUCUGGGUUGUGACUAUUUUUGGACGAAGGAAGAGCUUGUGAAAUUUUAUCAAUCAUCUCUAAUGGAGUUGCUUUUGAGAAGUGGGGCUGAUACGAAAAUGUUGAAUAAUAAGAGAGGAACCUUAUUCGACAUAUUCAAUAGAUAGGUGCAAUGAUAGAAGACAACAAAUUCAGAGACAUCUAAUUACACUACCAUUCACUGAAAAUUUUCAAUUCAGUGUUGACAGAAUCCAUUUUGAAGUUGUAUCAUUCCAAGAUAAUUGUAGAACAAAAUUGAAACUUUCGGAUUCCCGCAAAAUAGCAGCAUUUCGCUGUUGAAUCAAAAAAAAAUUGAGCAGGCGAUUAUCUUGCUUCAGUGUGGAGCAAAUGAAAAAUCAAGGGAUAUAAAUAGAAAUACAGUACUGCACGGUUUUUGUUCCACAAAAGAAGGAAUCGACAUGUAAAUGUGCAAAUUUUUAGUGGAAGUCGAAUGUGACCCUAAUUUAUUGGGAAAAUAUGGGCAGACUACAUUG